GUAGGUAUAGCUGAGUGGUAGAGUGCAUGCUUAGCAUGCACUAGGUCCUGAGUUCAACCCCAGUACCUCCA
rnacentral:tRNA from 1 species